rnacentral:rRNA from 1 species
GACGUAGGAGGCGAGCGUUAUCCGGAUUCACUGGGCGUAAAGCGCACGUAGGCGGAUUUUUAAGUCAGGGGUGAAAUCCCGGAGCUCAACUCCAGAACUGCCUUUGAUACUGAAGAUCUUGAGUUCGGGAGAGGUGAGUGGAACUGCGAGUGUAGAGGUGAAAUUCGUAGAUAUUCGCAAGAACACCAGUGGCGAAGGCGGCUCACUGGCCCGAUACUGACGCUGAGGCACGAAAGCGUGGGGAGCAAACAGGG